rnacentral:miRNA from 1 species
AGAUUUAUUUUUAUUUAUGUUUAUGUGUGCAUGUGUAUCUGUGUAUGUGCAUGUGAAUGCAGUGCCCACAGAGGCCCAAAGAAGGCAGAAGAU